rnacentral:rRNA from 1 species
GGAUUAGAUACCCUGGUAGUCCACGCUGUAAACGAUGUGUGCUAGUUGUCGGGGUCUUUAGGCUUCGGUGACGCAGAGAAAUCAUUAAGCACACCGCCUGGGGAGUACGGUCGCAAGAUUAAAACUCAAAGGAAUUGACGGGGACCCGCACAAGCGGUGGAGCAUGUUCUUUAAUUCGAAGCAACGCGAAGAACCUUACCAACCCUUGACAUCCCGAUCGGGAAUUAGAGAGAUCUUUUUCUUCAGUUAGGCUGGAUCGGUGACAGGUGCUGCAUGGCUGUCGUCAGCUCGUGCCG